rnacentral:rRNA from 1 species
GACGAACGCUGGCGGCGUGCUUAACACAUGCAAGUCGAACGGAAAGGCCCUGCUUUUGUGGGGUGCUCGAGUGGCGAACGGGUGAGUAACAGGUGAGUAACCUGCCCUUGACUUUGGGAUAACUUCAGGAAACUGGGGCUAAUACCGGAUAGGAGCUCCUGCUGCAUGGUGGGGGUUGGAAAGUUUCGGCGGUUGGGGAUGGACUCGCGGCUUAUCAGCUUGCUGGUGGGGUAGUGGCUUACCAAGGCUUUGACGGGUAGCCGGCCUGUGAGGGUGACCGGCCACAUUGGGACUGAGAUACGGCCCAGACUCCUACAGGAGGCAGCAGUGGGGAAUAUUGCCCAAUGGGCGGAAGCCUGAUGCAGCAACGCCGCGUGCGGGAUGACGGCCUUCGGGUUGUAAACCGCUUUCGCCUGUGACGAAGCGUGAGUGACGGUAAUGGGUAAAGAAGCACCGGCUAACUACGUG